UACGUAGGGUGCGAGCGUUGUCCGGAAUUACUGGGCGUAAAGAGUUCGUAGGCGGUUUGUCGCGUCGUUCGUGAAAACUUGGGGCUUAACUCCAAGCGUGCGGGCGAUACGGGCAGACUUGAGUACUACAGGGGAGACUGGAAUUCCUGGUGUAGCGGUGAAAUGCGCAGAUAUCAGGAGGAACACCGAUGGCGAAGGCAGCUUACUGGGCCGAAACUGACGCUGAGGAGCGAAAGCGUGGGGAGCGAACAGG
rnacentral:rRNA from 1 species